rnacentral:rRNA from 1 species
UACGGGGGGGGUAAGCGUUGUUCGGAAUUACUGGGCGUAAAGGGCUCGUAGGCGGCCAACUAAGUCGGACGUGAAAUCCCUCAGCUUAACUGGGGGAACUGCGUCCGAUACUGGAUGGCUUGGAUUUGGGAGAGGGAUGCGGAAUUCCAGGUGUAGCGGUGGAAUGCGUAGAGAUCCGGAAGAACACCGGUGGCGAAGGCGGUCUGCUGGGCAGUAGCUGACACUGAGGCGCGACAGCGUGGGGGAGCAAACAGG